CCACCACCAGCGCCCUCGUUUCCGGUUCAGCCCAGGAGGCUUCCGAGUGUUUCUGCUCUCCGCUUCUCUGGGUCGACCAUUUCUCCAACGUUUUUGCAGGUCUUUCGGUUGGUGGGGAAGGUAGUUGCCAAUAAAGUUUCCCCGUUUGAAAGUCUGGAGGAUUGAGCCGGGCGCAUCCUCUGUCCCCUUGUUCAUUGUCCUCAGUUUUUCUAGGCUACAGGCAAGGAGUCUCAAGGCGUGAUGGCCAGGGGCCGGUCCGGCCCGGCCGGUCUGAGGCCAACUUUCGUUGCCCGCGCUCUCUUAUGGCUUUUGGCCCCGCAGGCGUCCGCCUCAGCGUGAGCGCAGUCCCUCCGCACCCACGGGCCGCCCUGUGCUGGACCCCAUGGCCUCCGAGGCUCCGUCGCCUUCAUUGUCGCCGUCGUCACCUUCCUCCCCUGAGCCUGAACUGGCCCAGCUGAGGCGGAAAGUGGAGAAGUUGGAACGCGAGCUGCGGAGCUGCAAGCGGCAGGUGCGGGAGAUCGAGAAGCUGCUUCAUCACACGGAACGGCUGUACCAGAGCGCAGAGAGCAACAACCAGGAGCUCCGCACCCAGGUAGAAGAGCUCAGUAAAAUACUCCAUUGUGGGAGAAAUGAAGACAAUAAGAAGUCUGAUGUAGAAGUACAAACAGAGAACCAUCCUGCUUGGUCAAUCUCAGAUUAUUAUUAUCAGACAUACUAUAAGGAUGUCAGUCUUCCAAAUAAAGUGACUGAACUCUCAGUUCAGCAAGAUCAGGAUAUUGAAGCUUCCACUUUUAAUUCUGAAGAUCAGGCACAAAUAGAAAAUGAUGCUUAUGCUGGUGCUGAUAUAACAGAACAUGUUAAAUGUGCAGAAGAGGACCAUUUUGCCUCAAAUUCAAAUUCACAGGAGCCAGCAUCUGUAUUAGCAGCAGAAGAUACAUCCUUAGAAGGUUCUUCAUUAGCUGAAAGUUUGAGAGCUGCAGCAGAAGCUGCUGUGUCUCAGACUGGAUUUAGUUAUGAUGAGAACACUGGACUGUAUUUUGAUCACAGCACUGGUUUCUAUUAUGAUUCUGAAAAUCAACUAUAUUACGAUCCUUCCACUGGAAUUUAUUACUACUGUGAUGUGGAAAGUGGUCGAUAUCAAUUUCAUUCUCGAGUUGAUUUGCAACCUUAUCAGACAUGUGGCACAAAACCAAAUAAGGAAAAAAAAUUGAAGAAGAAAAGAAAGGAUCCAGAUUCUUCUGUAACAAAUGAGGAAAAGGAUUUGAAUGCAGAAGAUCAGAAAGCAUCCAAUGUUGAAUGUGUAAGCUGCAGUGAGGGAGAAGAUUUUGCAAAUGUGAAAAAGAAGGCCAAAAUAGACAUUCAUUACAAAAGUAGUCCUGCCAAAUUUACUGUUCCAGUUAGCGGAAAGACUACAGACUCUUCUGUUAGUGAAAACAUUUAUAAUUCGACAUCAUUCAAAGAUGAGAAAAUCAUGGAGACUGAUAGUGAGCCAGAAGAAGGUGAAAUUACAGACUCUCAGACAGAGGACAGUUACGAUGAAGACAUUACCAGUGAAGACAAUGUAACUGCAGAAGAUACUGAGGAUGAAGACGAAGAAAAAAUUUGGCCCCCGUGUAUUAGAGUAAUUGUUAUUAGAUCACCAGUAUUGCAGACAGGAUCACUUUUUAUCAUUACAGCUGUAAACCCUGCUACAAUUGGAAGAGAAAAAGAUAUGGAGCAUACUCUCCGAAUCCCUGAAGUUGGUGUUAGUAAGUUUCAUGCAGAAAUUUAUUUUGACCAUGACUUACAAAGUUACGUUCUUGUGGAUCAAGGUAGUCAAAAUGGUACAAUUGUUAAUGGAAAACAGAUUCUUCAGCCUAAAACUAAAUGUGACCCUUACGUCCUUGAGCAUGGUGAUGAAGUGAAAAUUGGAGAGACCGUACUGUCUUUUCAUAUCCACCCUGGCAGUGAUACCUGUGAUGGCUGUGAACCAGGACAGGUUAGAGCUCACCUUCGUCUUGAUAAGAAAGAUGAAUCUUUUGUUGGUCCAACACUAAGUAAGGAGGAAAAAGAGUUGGAAAGGAGAAAAGAAUUAAAGAAAAUACGAGUAAAAUAUGGUUUGCAGAAUACAGACUAUGAAGAUGAAAAGGCAUUGAAGAAUCCAAAAUACAAAGAUAGAGCUGGAAAACGGAGGGAGCAGAUUGGAAGUGAAGGGACUUUCCAAAGAGAUGAUGCUCCUGCAUCUGUUCAUUCUGAGAUUACUGAUAGCAACAAAGGUCGGAAGAUGUUGGAGAAGAUGGGUUGGAAAAAAGGAGAGGGCCUAGGGAAGGAUGGUGGAGGAAUGAAAAUUCCGAUCCAGCUUCAACUUCGGCGAACACAUGCAGGCUUGGGGACCGGCAAACCAUCUUCAAUUGAAGAUGUUCACAUUCUCCAAAACAAGAGCAAAAAGAAUUGGGAGAAAGCACGAGAGAGGUUUGCUGAAAACUUCCCAGAAACUAAAUCUCAAAAAGAUGUGCCAGGAACCGUCCCUUGGGUCAAAGGGACCAUAGAAUAAAGAUCCAGCCAAUCAGAAAAAUUAGUCUGGGAUCAUGAGGCUGAAGACUUAGAUGAAGUUAAAAAGCAAAAAAAUGCCUCCAAACUGUGAAGUGUGGAUACUCAACUCAGACAGUACAGGGUUCAAGGUGUCAGAUGGUUCAAGUUGUUAAAAGAAGCCCACCGAAGGGAAGUCUGGACAGGUAAAGAGUGAGAACAAACGGGGGAACAGCAGAGGGAGAGGGAGAAGCAGACUCCCCAGUGAGCAGGGAACCCGAUCAGGACUCCAUCCCAGGACCCUGAGAUCAUGACCUGAGUAUGUCAAUUAGGAAGAGACUCCACACCUAUCCCAAGUCCAGCAAGAUAGCUCUUGAGGGGACGUAAAACCAGAUAAUGGCAGACACCAGUCCCUGUCUUGUGUGAACAGCUGCUGGUUUUCUCGACCCGAGUGAUGACAAAUGGUUCUGUGACUGACUGAGCCUGGAAAACAUUUCAAAUUCGAAGCCUGGGAUCCUGCAGAAUUCGGGUGUCUAUUUGUAUCUUACCACCCACCUGCCCCUCCCUUGAACCUCUGUACCGACCAUCAAAUUGGGCAAAAGGCAUCAUACUCCUACUGGGCAGAGCUGCCGGAGAAGUCAGAGCGCAGGGUGCCCAGUGGCCCACUCCCCUCUGGUGACAGGCUGUUCCUUCCUGGCAUGGGUGAUUGGCGGGAGGCCAGGGAGCUGUGGGGCCAUGAGGCAGGCUUGGCUCCGAGCCUGGCUGCUGUCUGGGCAUGAAACUGGGCUCUGGCCCCAGGAGCAUGGUCCUAACUGUCUGACCCAGAACCACCUGUGCAGCAACCAUCCCACUUCUCGGGUCCUGGUGGGUCCCAGUCCUCACGCAGGGCAGAUUUAGGAGCAGAGAUGGAUCUGGAAGGAAUGGUAGAAGCCAGUACAGAAUGCUAUGGCAAAAGCCAGUAAUGUCUCCACACAGAGAGCAGCCUCUGGGGGUGUGCCUAGGCCAGAGGAGAGAAUGGGUGUGUGUCCAGCGAGUGGACAGAACAAGCUUUACUCUGCUUCCUUGCUCUGGGGCAGACUAGGGGCCUCAGCCCUUCCAAAUGGCCUCACUCCAUGACCUGCCAGGGCCUCAAAUGCAGACACAGUGUCUCUAACAGGGGGCCCUCUGCCUGUCCUGAAAUGAAAGCUCCACCCAGGGGACCAGCAAACCUGUCGCUUUCAGGAGGGCCUCCUACCACCAGCUUUUAAACCCUGUUUAUCAGCCUCUGACCCCAGAGUAAUCUCAACUUCCUUGUACUCAGUUCAGAAGAUGUUUGCUAUUCAGGAUUCUGAUGCCAAGGUGUGAUAAGAGCGGCCUCAGGCCUUCUGAGUUCCUAAACCAACAGAGUCCAAGGAUUUGAAAACUGAGAAGCGUGAGGACAGCCACGCCCUGAGAGGUGACCCUGCACCAGCUCCCGUCUCCUGAAAUCUCCCAAGAUAUUUAGAAAUAGGUGUUAGUGGGACUGUACUACCUUCAACUUUGGAUGUCUUAUUUGUUUUGUUUUUGCAACAAGAGUUUCCCAUAGCACCAACAAAAUCAGAUCUGUGUUUUAUUGACUCCACUGCAGUUCCUAUGCAUGGAAUUCGUUUUGCUUUCUAACUCCUGUCAGUUUUCUCAGUCAGUUCGGGUAAAGCUGGCACAGAGUAAGCUAUAGAGAUACAAUGUGGGAAAACAGAGAACACCUUCCAAGCUGCUCUCACCCCUAACUGGCCUAUGGAUGUGACAGCUGCAUGGGGAGGAGGGGGCUAUCUUCAUGUGCCCCAGCUGGGGCCAGGCCUUCACGGUUCUGUUUGCAACAGCCCACCUUAGACCAAUGCUAAAAGCCUGUGUCUGCUUUCUCAGCCUGUCUCACGUGCUUCCGCUUCCCAUAGGUGAUUACAUCAAGUGCUGGGGGUGGAGGUGAGGUCCAAGGGCAAAGAGGGUGUGAAUGAGACAUGGGCCAUUUUCAUCAGCCAGAAAAGUACAGCAAUAACACAAGGCUGCAGGAAAUACACGUUUGGUGGUACGUUCACACUAAGCGGACUCCACAGGCUCAGGGUAUAAUUGGACAUGCUCUAGGUUUUAUACUGGGGUACAGGUGUCACUUAGAAGUCCCUUUCCCAAGGCUCACUAGAAGGGUUUUUGGGACAAGGGCAUCAAAGGUGUUGCCAGGGUGCAAAUGCUUCCUUAUUAGUUGUGUGAUCUUGGAAGGGUAUUUAAGUUUUCUAGACCUCAGUUCCCACAUCUGUAAAGGAGAUACUGAGCCUGUCACAUAGAGUUAAUGUGGGGGAUAAAUGACAUGAGGAAAACAAAGCAUGUCUACCACAUUGAACACAGAGUAGGGACUCCCUCCUUGGACUGGAGAUCAGAGAACCCCACAGAAGGCUUCUUUUAAGUCUUAGCCCAGCCAGGUGGUUCCACUUCUCUGAGUUUGCUUCAUGACAGAUGCAAAGGUUGAGAAUCUGUAUGUUGACUGAACAGAUAUGAUCGUGCUGAUUAAGAUUGGCAACACAGUGUGGAGAGAAGAAUUGUCUUCGUGAACAAGUGUUAGAAGAGCAGCGCUGAGAAACACAGAAGCAUGCCGUCCUGAUCCUUGCCGUGCUGGCCAAGGUAGAGCUGGGCCAGGUGGGGCUGCCUCUGUUUGGAUUGUCUCUGGCUUAAGCCUGCCUUGAAGGUUCAAGUGAAUCUGAUUUUGUCUUGGGGUUCAGGUAGGGAACAUUGAAGUGUGCUGUAGGGUCCCUAGGACACUUUACCUGGGACAAGAUUAUAGCUGCUUUUCCUGACCCCCAGCUGCCAGCUUCCCACAGUCCUCUGGGUGUUCCUGUAUAAGGUGAAGACUCACUUAAGAAAAGCAUUGAGUGACACUCUUGUCAGGAGGGAUUUUACAGGGCUGUCCCCUUUGGCCACUGGGAGAAAAAUAUGUAUAUUAAAAAUUUUUUUCUGAGGAAAUUAAAAUCCAAAUACCUGUCUAA